AUGUGUCUUCUAUCUUUGUGGAAGAGUCAGUUCACUGACAUUAAUGUGGAGGUAAAUCAACAUAAGUGCACAAAUAUUCCAACUUCACAUAGACCUGGAGAGAACAGAAAUGUUACAGAACGUCUGAAGUGUUCUUCAGUUCUUCUUCAGCACUGAUCCUUCACACCUCCAACAAGGAAAUCCAGUGCCAGUAGCAGGAGACCAACAUGCUCAUCCUCAGUUUCAAAUGCUUCUGGUGCAACAGGAAUAAGCUGAGAAGUGCAAGAAUGCCUGAGAAGGCCCCAGGGCUCUUCACAGCUACAGAGAAGCCUCAUUGCUCUGGAGAAUUUUAAGGCUGAUCUCACGUGGAGAGAACAUGAGACAUUCCUUUUUCCUGCCACGCCACUGAUGUGGGUGUCUGCAAGAAGCCCCAGGUCUCAGAAGCCUCCAUUACCAAGCACACAUGACUUAGUUAUAUUGGAACACUGUAGGAAAUGGAAAGCAGCCCUGGCUGUCCAAAACCAGCAAAAGAGAAGCCAGUAUAUUGUAUACUUUGGUCUGCUCUCUAUAGAAGUAGCCCCAACCAGCCUCAAGACAUUUUACACUGAAAUACAUUUUGGCAGAACACAAAGAAACUCCCUCCUGCGUGACGCUGAACAUGGACUGUCAGUCCUCCUGCACGGGACCGAUCCCUCCCUCUCGCUCUUCUCUGCAGAAACCCUAAAUCCACUACUGCAACCCUCUACCCGAACCCCACACGAGAGCAGGGGGAGCCUGGCAAAGAACCGAAGGGGGAGAUGUAAAUGUUUACCAGCACGAGGAGGAUGUGAAGGGCUGUGCAGCUGUUCCACUGCACGGCUUCUCGAGGGGGAACUGGGGAGCACAGACAGACCAGUUCUCACUUCCAGCUGAGAUAAACAUUUCCAAGGCACUCGUUUCAAACAGGAAGGCACAGCCUCGGGACACGAGCUCACCCUUCACUGAGCCCCCAGCCCUGCUGCUCUGUCUCAGCCCUCCAGGAGGGGGGCACACUGUGCCACUGCUGUUAUUACAGCUGCUGGAUGCACAGGCAAGGGGGAAGGUGCAAUUUUAUGGCUGUGUGGAAAAAUCUUUCAAAUGCUGGUGGGAGGAUGUCUGAUGAUGCCAGACUGGUGCAGCAAAACAUCAUAUGGAGAUAAAGCACUGGAGAAACUGUCCAUGUGCCAACGAAUGAGGAUUCAGGCAAACAAUUCUAAACCAUACAUGCAGACUUGGUGUCAUUACACUGCUAUUACAGAUGCCUACCCUGCUUUUCUUCUUUUAAAAGGGUGCAGUUCUGACGCUUUAUCACUAGCUUUCUAGCUGGAAGCUAGAAAAGACACCAACAAAGGACACUGGAAGACUGAUCUACAGAGAAAAUCCGCGGAUUUUGAAAAGCCACGAUCCAGCUGUAGCUUGAAAGGUGAAACACACUUGUUUGUACCACAUUCCCUGAGUUUUCCAUACAGAUGUACACACGCAGACAAUUUUUUACUGUGGAAAACUAUCAGAUAUCACUUUGUAUUAUUUGGCAAGUAUAUAUUUAUAGCAAUUUCUCAUAAAAAUUGAAUUAGGUCAAAGGCUGAAAGGUGACAAGUUUGGACUUUUGUAUCCCAACCUGAGACACUUUAUGGGUGGAUCUCCUGCACAGAGCUGAACGCUUUGAAAUCUUUGGAAGGGGUAUCAGCAAGGCCUCAAGUUUGGUUCUCUGACACUCUCGUUGCCAGAAUUACUAGUAAUUUUAAAACCUUGGCUCGCAAUCUUUAAAAAAAAAUAAUCAUAAUAUCCAUACAGUUCAUGAUAGAAUCUGAUCAUUCUGCAGAAAAUACACAAAUAUUAAGGGCAAAAUUCUUCCCCAUUGUGUAACUGGCUUCCCAUCAUUAAAAGCCUUAAGUGGCCCCUCCCUCUGACUUAAGUUAUCAUUGCUUUCCAUCAGGAGAAGACUGAGGAACCCUUCAAGAGAUUUAGUUCAGGCUUAGAAAACAAUCAGUUCCAACACAACCUGCAGAGAACCAAAGCUCUGGAACGUGCAAUUCUGAAAGCUUAAGAACAUUUUUAAGGAAGUAUCAAACACAACCAUGAUUUGAAAAUAAAAACUAACCGUACUAAACUAGAAAAGGUCUUUUGCAUUGUUUAAGAACCUGGAA